UAUGACAGCAUGCACAGGGAGAAGUCCACACAGGCUCCCAUCCCCAACCAAGAAGCUAUUGGCAAUUAACAACCACUUGCAAAGGAAAAAUUAGUUUCCUCAAGGGAGUCUCGUGGUAUAUGCAAACCACUAAAGGGCAAGAUCUGAGUUUGGCAGUAAAUGAUGGUAGGAGUCUACAGGUGAUGACCCCCACGGACCCCAGCAGAGAACAUUCAGAACCGAUGAACUCGAUAAAAUUACAGGAUUCAAAGAAA